rnacentral:siRNA from 1 species
UCGGGGAGGCAUUGAAUCUAA